rnacentral:snRNA from 1 species
GGGUGAUCUGGCUGCGACAUCUGUCACCCCAUUAAUCGCCGGGGUUGAUUCGGCUGAUCUGGCUAGCUAGGUCAACGCUCCAUGUGCGCCCCUCUGGAAGCUGCGCAUUUGCUCGAAGCGUGCUACCUUCCCCUAUUCAGGAGGACCGGUCUUCCGUCACAGGUAUAGGAGUAGCUGUGCUCCCCUGUUAUAACGUCCAAACAAGCUGUCAAGUAAGAAACCCCCCCAAAAUAAGUCAGAACAACUUGAGAUAGUUAGAUAGUAUACAUUUCCUGGUUGCAUACUUUGGCUUUCA